CUCCUGCCCUCUGCUUCCAGAAGAGAGGGAUCAUGCGUCGUCCUGUUCCCUCCUCCUACUCCUCAUUCUGGGGUCUCUGUAGCGGUUUUGCUUCUGAGCAGAGCAUUGGAAGCUGCUCCUCUUUCUUCGGCAUGGUGGACUUUUAGAUCGGAAGCUAUCAGCAAAUCAGAUCUCUGCACUACCAAAUGUCCUGGUGGGAUGCAAGUCUUCGUGGGACUCCUGCUUUCCUCACAGCGCAGCUCGAUUCUCCUUGAAGUUCGAGGACAAUCCAUGAAGAAUCUCUUCAUUCCUUUAGUCUCCAACGUUGUGGCUUGGUGUAUAAUGUGUGAUUCUCUGCAUCUGAAGAUUUGACUGUGUUAAUUCAACCAAACUCAACACCAAGAAUGAAGAAAGAACAAAUGUGACGACAUCUCAGAAGAGUAAAAACAAUCCACUACAGGUCCUCUUCCAAACAGUGGACUGACUCAGAGAGCACCAUUGGACUGACUCAGAGAGCACCAUCGGACUGACUCAGAGAGCACCAUUGAACUGACUCAGAGAGCACCAUUGGGCUGACUCAGAGAGCACCUCCAGGGACUUUUAGACAAAACCGAGAAGUGCAGGACCACUAAAGCCCACGAGAGACAAAGAAACUAGAGACACAUACAGCUGACUGAAGACUGGAGCAAGAUACUAGAGACACAUACAGCCCAGUGAAGACUGGAGCAAGACACUAGAGACACAUACAGCCCAGUGAAGACUGGAGCAAGAUACUAGAGACACAUACAGCCCAGUGAAGACUGGAGCAAGAUACUAGAGACACAUACAGCCCCGUAAAGACUGGAGCAAGAAACUAGAGACACAUACAGCCCCGUAAAGACUGGCGCAAGACACUAGAGACACAUACAGCCCCGUAAAGACUGGUGCAAGGCAGGGAAAUCAGCCCCAGUAGCCCACCACUACUUCCACCAGUACAACCAACGCCAGUACAGCCACUGCCAUGCAGGUGUCGUUU
ensembl:lncRNA